rnacentral:rRNA from 1 species
AACGAACGCUGGCGGCAUGCCUAACACAUGCAAGUCGAACGAAACCUUCGGGUCUAUUGGCUCACGGGUUCGUAAGGCGUGGGAACCUGCCCUUAUGGUCGGAAUAACUCUCCGACAGGGGUACUAAUACCGGAUAAUGUCUUCGGACCAAAGAUUUUUUGCAUUGGGAUGUGCCCGCGUUGGAUUCGCUAGUUGGGAGGGUUAUAGCCUACCACGGCGAGGAUCCGUAGCUUGUUUGAGAGGAUGGUCAGCCACUCUGAGACUGAGACACGGCCCAGACUCUUACGGGAUGCAGCAGUGGGGAAUAUUGCACAAUGGGCUAAAGCCUGAUGCAGUUAUGCCGCGUGAGCGAUGAAGGUCUUAGGGAUGUAAAGCUUUUUUACCUGGGAUGAUAAUGACAGUACCGGGAGAAAAAGCCCCGGCUAACUCCGUG